GAUCCUGGCUCAGGAUGAACGCUAGCUACAGGCUUAACACAUGCAAGUCGAGGGGCAGCAUGAACUUAGCUUGCUAAGUUUGAUGGCGACCGGCGCACGGGUGAGUAACACGUAUCCAACCUUCCGUUUACUCAGGGAUAGCCUUUCGAAAGAAAGAUUAAUACCUGAUAGUAUGGUGAGAUUGCAUGAUAACACCAUUAAAGAUUUAUUGGUAAACGAUGGGGAUGCGUUCCAUUAGGUAGUAGGCGGGGUAACGGCCCACCUAGCCUGCGAUGGAUAGGGGUUCUGAGAGGAAGGUCCCCCACACUGGUACUGAGACACGGACCAGACUCCUACGGGAGGCAGCAGUGAGGAAUAUUGGUCAAUGGGCGAGAGCCUGAACCAGCCAAGUCGCGUGGAGGAAGACGGCCCUACGGGUUGUAAACUCCUUUUACCUGGGAAUAACGGGCGCUACGCGUAGCGCUGUGCAUGUACCGGGAGAAUAAGCAUCGGCUAAUUCCGUG
rnacentral:rRNA from 1 species